rnacentral:lncRNA from 1 species
UCCUAAUUCAUGCUUAUUUGAUAUCAUUCUAGGUUUGGAGCAGGUAAAAGAGUAAAGAAGAGAGUGCCAUGAAGGAAGAAGUCAUUUUAGAAUAUCUAACGCAGAACAUCCAGUCGGAUCAAUCCGAAGGUUGUUCCCAAAGAGAGCAAGCGACUGACUGUUCCCGACUAUUAAGGAAACCUCCAAGAUUUCAGGGGUUUGCCCUAGAUUUUCUCUCCUUUCUCUU